AUUGAACGCUGGCGGCAGGCCUAACACAUGCAAGUCGGACGGUAGCACAGGGGAGCUUGCUCCCCGGGUGACGAGUGGCGGACGGGUGAGUAAUGUCUGGGAAACUGCCCGGUGGAGGGGGAUAACUACUGGAAACGGUAGCUAAUACCGCAUAACGUCUUCGGACCAAAGUGGGGGAUCUUCGGACCUCACGCCACCGGAUGUGCCCAGUUGGGAUUAGCUAGUAGGUGGGGUAACGGCUCACCUAGGCGACGAUCCCUAGCUGGUCGGAGAGGAUGACCAGCCACACUGGAACUGAGACACGGUCCAGACUCCUAAGGGAGGCAGCAGUGGGGAAAAUUGCACAAUGGGCGCAAGCCUGAUGCAGCCAUGCCGCGUGUAUGAAGAAGGCCUUCGGGUUGUAAAGUACUUUCAGCGGGGAGGAAGGCGGUGAGGUUAAUAACCUUGCCGAUUGACGUUACCCGCAGAAGAAGCACCGGCUAACUCCGUGCCAGCCGCCGCAGUAA
rnacentral:rRNA from 1 species